rnacentral:rRNA from 1 species
UACGUAGGGGGCAAGCGUUGUCCGGAUUUAUUGGGCGUAAAGAGCGUGUAGGCGGCCAGGUAGGUCCGUUGUGAAAACUCGAGGCUCAACCUCGAGACGCCGAUGGAAACCAUCUGGCUAGAGUCCGGAAGAGGAGAGUGGAAUUCCCGGUGUAGCGGUGAAAUGCGCAGAUAUCGGGAGGAACACCAGUGGCGAAGGCGGCGAUCUGGGAAGAUACUGACGCUGAGGUGCGAAAGCGUGGGGAGCAAACAGG